UACGUAGGGUGCAAGCGUUAAUCGGAAUUACUGGGCGUAAAGCGUGCGCAGGCGGCUUUGUAAGUUUGUCGUGAAAGCCCCGGGCUCAACCUGGGAAUUGCGAUGAAGACUGCAAGGCUUGAAUCUGGCAGAGGGGGGUAGAAUUCCACGUGUAGCAGUGAAAUGCGUAGAGAUGUGGAGGAACACCGAUGGCGAAGGCAGCCCCCUGGGCCAAGAUUGACGCUCAUGCACGAAAGCGUGGGGAGCAAACAGG
rnacentral:rRNA from 1 species